rnacentral:tRNA from 1 species
GGCUGAUUAGCUCAGUCGUUUGAGCAUGGUGCUGACAAUGCCAAAGCCGUGGGUUCGAUUCCCAUUCGGUCC